rnacentral:rRNA from 1 species
UACGAAGGGUGCAAACGUUGCUCGGAAUUAUUGGGCGUAAAGCGCGUGUAGGCGGCCCUGCAAGUCGGGUGUGAAAUCCCACGGCUCAACCGUGGAAGUGCACUCGAAACUGCAGGGCUAGAGUCCUGGAGAGGAAGGUGGAAUGCUUGGUGUAGAGGUGAAAUUCGUAGAUAUCAAGCGGAACACCGGUGGCGAAGGCGGCCUUCUGGACAGUGACUGACGCUGAGACGCGAAAGCGUGGGGAGCAAACAGG